GGUCAUUAUUAAAUAAAAUUCUGCCCCAAAAGUCCACAGUAUGGAAUGGGAACUUUUAGCCAACAUAUAUACAAAAAACCUUAAUUUUUUUUUAUCCAGAUUCCUAAUUCUUAUUGAAAAAGGAUUGAGCAGUUCACAUUCUUGCCAUUGUGAUGUCAGAAUGCCCAUUCUUGGGGCGCCGGGACAGCUCAGUCAGAGAAGCAUCCAAAUCUUGAUUUCUGCUCAGGUCAUGAUGUCAGGGUCAUGAGAUUGAGCCCAGUGUUGGGCUCAACAACUCGCAGGGUGCAUUGGCAGAGUAACCACGGGCUUGCUCAAGAAAGGUUAUUCAGCAGGAGCUAUAAUGGAGCUUCCAAUAACAAAGCAGUGAAACUUGCAAUUGUCUUCGUCACAACCUUUAGAAUAAUGUGCUGUGGUGCUCCAUUGGCUGGUGUCCUCACACAGAGCCAAGUGCUGCUACUGGCUUUGCACAUGAUAAGGGCAGAACCAUGGACUUUCCAGCUCUUUCUUACCUACUACUUUACUCAGCACUUCUGAAGUAGAAGAUAGCCAGUGAAUCUGUAUGGAACAUACAAUACGACAUCACAGCCACUGUGAACCCGAGCUUCUCCUUAUCCAGAAAGAAGACCAUACUUUUACUCCAAGGAAGACUGUGCAUAUCAAAAAAUCAAAACAUGCUUUAUAAUGUGCACAAUUUGCUGUGAGUUUUUUAAAAGGAGGAUGAAAAUCUGUAAGAUUAUAUGAUUUCAAGAAAAGCAUUCCAUACAUCAGAGCAGAUGUGGCAGAUAAGCCCACUGGUCCAGCCAUGCAUUCUGUCUAAGGCGGCAUCCAUAAUGACGUCCCCUUCUGAGGUGCCACAUUAAUUCCUAAAUAUAUGAGAGUUCACCUCUGUGAAAUACAUCCAUAGUUAUUGACCUAUUAAUUAUGAUUUUUCUCUGGUUUGUAAAAUAUAGGUAUUUACAUGUUCUCAUUUGCAUUUCUAUAAUGAACAUGUAGUGCUUUUGAAAUGAGAAGCAAGCAAUUAAAAAAGCACUUCGGAAGAAUACCUUUCACUUUUUUUUUCACAGAACUCGUCCUGUACCUUCAUGUUCCUCUCUAGUGUUUUCAACUGCAGGGACCAUAUGCCUUUUAGACUUUACAUUUUUAAAAAUAAAAUCCACGUUCUUUUAGAUUUUUUAACAUAAAAGCCACCAGGUCUUUCAAAUACUGACAUCCUAACAUUGAUAUGGGUGAGUUUCAGUUAGGGUACAUGAUGGGG
rnacentral:lncRNA from 1 species